GCGGGGGGCCACCCUCUGGGGACAGCCUCGUGCUUCCAGGACUCAAUCUUCUACCUUCUGGCAUGUAUGCAGCUCACACCUCAAACUUCUGGUGACCCCCGUCGGAGAGAGAAACUGAGGACAGCUUUCUUUCAGUGCCCAUGGAACUGAGGUGAGCGGAGGUGGAGAGACCACUGGGGCAAAUGAGGCCUAGGAACACCAUUCAGUCCCUUAAGGGUGGGGGCAGGGAGAGUUUUCAGGAACUCCCACAUCAGACCCAGGCUGUAAGGCUGUGACCCACAGUGACUUUAACACUGUUCCAUUUCUGUACAGUAGGCAGCCUGUGACUCUCCCCGACCCCGGAUGCCAUGAGGUCAUCAUGUCCACCACGCCUGCUGGGUUAACAGUAGACACCAUUCUUAAUGUCAGGGACACCAGAAUAUUGUUUGAUUUGAAACACUGUAGGUUUUGUUUUUUUGAAGUGGCAGGUUUGCCUUGCUGACCAUGUGUGACCAGGCAAUAAAGUUAGCAGAGUGGCAGGAUGGUCUGGCAUGUGCUUAAAUUAAACACAGGGAGGAAGACACUGGGACUGAAAAUGUGUCCUGCGUUACGGACAGUCCACAUUGGCAUCUUUUAGAGGUUCACGAUCCCCUGCGCAGGCUCAAAAGCAACCCAGCAAGGGCUUUGCCCGUCUCUGUGGAGUUCCUGCUAUGGUUUUGUUUCUUCUCUCUGCUCCCCUUGCCCAGAUUCCUCAACCCUGUGCCCUCUGGUACGGUGCUUCUGUGCCCUGCAUGGCGAUCAUGUGGGUACUUGUCUGCACUGGAGGGCCUGUGGCUGCCCAGUGUCCUUCAGUCGCCUGCCUUUGUUCCUUGCUCUUCCCCUAGAGGGUGGUUCCUGGUGCUGCUCCUGAGGGAGUGCUUCCGAGACCCGCAUGGCUGGCCACCAUCUGUGACACUGGCGGGGAGGUGGGGCUGCCGGUGACCAGCAUUGUCCUCAGAUGCCAUUCUUCUGGGCCAUGCACGUCACUGAGACUCUGCACCAGAACACGCAGGUGCUGUCCUCCAGUGCCCUGGCCGACCGGAGGAGCAGCAACCCCACCUGCGUGACCCCGCCGUGUGGCGUGGGACCCGCUGUCUGGCCGAGUACCACCUGGGGGAUUACGGGCGGGGCUGGAACAGGUGUGUGCCUGGGCAGGUUGGGGGGUACAGGACAGCCCCGGGGACUGAGCUGCUGCUUCCCUUUCUCCUUUCUCCCUCCUUUGGGCUCUAGUUUCUUUCCUGCUGCCUCCUCUCAAGAUCUCUGUUUAUGAGCACUCCCCCCGCAAGGAAGGGGGAACACAGAGGCACCUCCCCGCUCCUCUGAGCCCUCACCUUGCAGCCCUCGGUGUGGAGGACCACUGCACGGCACUAGGUGGAACCCCUCCUCUCUCUCCUCUUCCUGACUCGGGCCAGGUGCUGGGGCUGGACCACGUAGACAGCUGGGCUGUGGUCAUGUUCAUCGACUUUGGCUGGUCGGCCACCAGCCCUGUGCAAAGCCUGCACAGCCUGGACAGCGACGGUUUCUGGACCAUCUGCCUCUGAUGCAGCCAUUCCUGCGGGAGGAAGGGGAGCAGUCCUCCACCUCCCGAGGGCGUCGGGGACCUCGGGUAGCCAGGGGGCAGCUGAAAACCCUCAGGGUGCCCUUCAGCCUCUUUUCUCGCUGUUCUGCCCCAGUUUUCAGUAUCUGCCUCUGGAAUACUGGUUCUCAUACCCGCGCUGUGUGGGCCCCAGGAUCCCAAGGGGUCUCAGGUGCUGCCCAAAGGCUGGGCUCUGUUGCGGUGGCAGGUUGUGGUGGCAGGGGAGGGCAGGCUUCCCACCCGCUUCUGCCAGAGCCGGGCAGCCUCUGCUUCACCUGUUUUAUAUACAUUGGAUUUUGCUUCAGAGUUCACCAGAGAAGGAUUCUGGAAUUUGAACCCCCACAAUAGGGCUUAGCAUUGGACUUGGGGUCUCCUGAUGUGUUGUUACUUUAGAUCCAGACACGGCUGGGGCCUCAGUUUCCACAUUUUUGAAAUGGAGAAGCCCUGUCUUUAGCCCCUUCUUAGUAUUGGGGUUAGGUGGGAUGUGAAAGGAUGAAAGAAUGCUUUGGGGGUCAGGAGGAGAACCAGAGGUAAAGAAACACACACACACACACACAUACACACACACACACAGAUGGAAAGACGGAGAAGCACCUCCCCAAGUACAGAGCCAAGGCUCCCUGGGAGGCCGAAGGGGUCUUGUGCCCAGCGGUUAGGGACACCACCCAGAGGUCACUUUGGGUCACUGCAUGAAGAGGGCCCCUGCCGCCCAGCCUGGGGAGUAACAAGCCAACAGCUGGGGCCCAGGGGCUUCAGGUGAGGCUGAGCCUGACAUCUUGGGGGUUGGAGGGUGGCCCAGAGUACAGGAGCCCCCCACCCAGAGAGCAUCUCCCAGGACUUAAAGGAACCAGGGUGCCCAGCCCAGACUCCCAGCUGUGGUGUGGACUUCUGAGACGGCUCUGGGAGGUCAGGCAGGCAGGUGUACAACUUUCCCUUUAAAUGGAUGAGGAAAGUAAGGCUCAGGAAAGUGAAAGGAGCUUCCUCAUGUUUCAAAGCAAGAAAAUAGCAUAGCUGGGGGGUGGAACUGAGGUCUGACUCCUGAUAGGAGCCAGUUUCAUGGAUGCAAACAGUCCCAGAGCGAGGGGGAUGGCAGGCUGGCGGGAUCUGAGAGGGAAGGGGAGACCUGGGGAAAGGGGGGUUUCUGACCAGCGCCCUGCCCUGCCCGGUCCAGGCACACGAGAAUGCCAGCUCAUCACAGUGAAAGCCCGGCUCCAUCCGUCUUCAUGUCUCUCAAGAGCAGGGUUCAGUGAACACAAUUUUCUGUCCCCAGAAUUUCCCAUUAGAGAAUGUAAAGUUCCAGAUCCCUGUAAUUAUUUUUGCAACAGCAAUAAUGCCUUUUAUAUGCUCUUACUUUGUCUCCCCAUCUCCCACCUUUCUAGCACUUUUAUCUCAUUUUAUUCUGGCAGCAGGGAGUUAGCCCUAACACGCAGAGGCUUGUCGGAGGAGCUGGUCUGCAGCCACAACCCUUUCCCGCAGCCCCGGCCUCACUUUCCUCUCUUGCUCCUCCUGCCUGACCAAGUGCUGCCAAGGUUUUGUUGUUGGGAUUGUUUUGGGGAUGUUUUGAGUUCAUAUCAGGUUAUACAUCGCAUCCUCAAAGGGAAAAUCACCGGUGCUUUGAACUUGCAGGUACGUGGCCCUGAAUCUGCACUCUCCUUCCCCUCCGGCCCUGGGGGUCUCAGCUGCCCAGGCCACUGCGUAGGCCUGCUGCUGCCUGUUUCCCUGGCACCCCUUAGAUGAACCCGAAGCUAUCCAAGGGCUUGAGUGGGCUGGCUGGGGUGGUUCUUCCUUCCUGCUGAGACUUUCUCUUUCUCUUCCAGUCACACAUCCUGAAGUUUGAAGAGUUUAAGUAGUGAGGCUGCAAUCCGCAUGUUCCCUGUCCUGUCCAGAUUCUGCCUGCCCAGCUCUCUCCUGCCCCUUUCCCUCCUGAGGCCUCGGGGGCGAAAGGGGUCAGUACACCGGUGCCCAGCACUGAUUUGAAUCCUAUUUGCCUUUACCCCUAGUUCGCCUCUCAAAAACAGGCGAUUUGUCCCAUGUCUUCAGCUCCACGACCCAGCCGUCAACAUUGAGCCACACCUGGGAAGCCUCCAUGAGAGUGAAAGCCCGAGGCAGCCAGUACAGUUUUCCCUUCUCUUCUUUGCACCCCCAGAGCGUGGUGUAAGCUGUCCUAAGUCUGGGGAACGGAGGGGCCCACUGGCAUUUAUUUUCCUGGCAUUCCAUUCUAGUGUCUGGUAGGGAGCAUUCAAACGAUGAGCCAUCACCUUGAUGGAUAAACUUUGGCAUGUUUCAUGAGUUCGGGGUGACUGAUUCCUGUCUGGCUACCCCUCCCCAGUCCUGCCCUCUGAACAGCCAUAGUCAGAUUGAGAAGCCACCCCGCGUGCCUCAUGAGCUGGCCCAGCCUGGGCGCUGCGGCUUCAGGCCCUGCCGGGGAUGGAGGUGGGGUGCACACUUGGGGGGGAAGACCCCCAGGCUGAAGGUCCUGAAAGGGACAAGCAGCUGGACAAGGACGUGGAUCCUCUCAGAGUUGGUGCGACGCAUCUUACAGAAGCUCGUGCACCUUUACGUCAGGACCCAUCUUAAUGGAGCGGCUUGAAUCAAUGUUCUCCGAGUCAAACUCACUUCAGAGCUAUGUUGUUCCAAGACCAGGAGAAGCAAGACACAGGAGGGUGAGCGAGGGCGCCACCAACAAUUACCCUUCAGUGUUAAUUAGAAGCCACUCCAGGGAGACAAACCAAUGAGCACCAGUUCCAGCCGCACGGCGUAGUGCCGGAACCAGAGAGACCAGGCCCACGUUCGGGAGACUAUCCCCCGUUCCUCAGCUCAUUUACAAGCAGUUCUAUGAAGCCUCCUCUUAGGCCUCCUUCCUCAUAUUUUCUUUUUCUUAGAAUUUGAACAUCUGUGACUAGAAAAGUAGUCCUAAGAAUUAAGGCCAGCACGUCAGCCUACUACACUGUGGUCUAGCAGGCCGGGCUCUGCAUUCUCAGGGGGACGAGUGUCGGUCGGUCCGGAGGCCUUCAGGAGAGAUCGGGGCCAGCCGGGCGCGUGCUUCCGCUGCACCUCUCUGUGGCUCCA